AAGACCUUGCGCUUUUGGAGCGGCCGAUGCCUGAUUAGCUUGUUGGUAAGGUAAAAGCUUACCAAGGCUUCGAUCAGUAGCUGGUCUGAGAGGACGGCCAGCCACACUGGGACUGAGACACGGCCCAGACUCCUACGGGAGGCAGCAGUGGGGAAUUUUGGACAAUGGGGGUAACCCUGAUCCAGCCAUGCCGCGUGAGUGAAGAAGGCCUUCGGGUUGUAAAGCUCUUUCAGCCGGAACGAAACGGUUACGGUUAAUACCCGUGAUUACUGACGGUACCGGAAGAAGAAGCACCGGCUAACUACGUGCCAGCAGCCGCGGUAAUACGUAGGGUGCGAGCGUUAAUCGGAAUUACUGGGCGUAAAGCGUGCGCAGGUGGUUUUGUAAGUCAGAUGUGAAAGCCCCGGGCUCAACCUGGGAACU
rnacentral:rRNA from 1 species